rnacentral:rRNA from 1 species
AUUGAACGCUGGCGGCAGGCCUAACACAUGCAAGUCGAGCGGAGCUGCGGACGGGCGAGUAAUGCCUAGGUAUCUGCCUGGUAGUGGGGGAUAACGUACGGCAACGGGCGCUAAUACAGCAUACUAUCAGAUGAGCCUAGGUCGGAUUCGCUAGUUGGUGGGGUAAAGGCCUACCACGGAGACGAUCCGUAACUGGUAUGAGAGGAUGAUCAGUCACACUGGAACUGAGACACGGUCCAGACUCCAACGGGAUGCAGCAGGGGGGAAUAGUGGACAAUGGGCGAAAGCCUGAUCCAUCCAUGCCGGGUGUGGGAAGAAGGUCUUCGGAUUGUAAAGUACUUUAAGUUGGGAGGGGGUACCAACAGAAUAAGCACCGGCUAACUUCGUGCCAGCAGCCGCGGUAAUAC